rnacentral:lncRNA from 1 species
GCAUGGCACUUUUGAACCUGUCAGGGAAAAAGCAAACCAGUGAACUUCAUCUUGUCACUAGUCUUCUUAGGGGCUGCUCUCUAAAGCAAAGGAAAAUAGCAUUCAUUAAAGUGAAAAAUAGAAAGCCCGUGUCAGCCCCCUACAUUCUCCUCUUAGUUAGAAACAGAGUCCAUGGUUGCCGAUGGGAAGGUGGUUCUGAAAGCCCACUGGAUCUGUGCUGACUCUGGAGACUGAAUAUUUUCUUAAUAAUUUCUGAUUUCUUUUUGAAAAGUUUUGACUGUUAAGUCAUUAGCUCUCUUGGAACUUCAGAGUCAAGGGACAUUUUAAACACUGGAGUUCUAAAUCUGAGAGAAUGUUGUAUAAAGUCAAAGAUAAAUUCUAAGUGUAGAAUACAGGACUUCCAAAAUGGGUUCUCCUUGAAUCAUCUAGAAUAACUAUAAACACAUUUAUACAAUCCAUUAUUAAUACGUUCCUUGGUAAAACACCCACAAUCAAACACAAAGCCCCCUUCCCAAUAUAUUUACUUUGCUUACAAUUAUGGAUGCGACCACUAGGAGGCAGGGUAACAGAUGACCAGGAUGUUAAAACUAGGGUCGACAUUAAUGCAGCUUAUAUUUAGUAGAUCUCCCAUGUGCCAGGAACAUUGCAAGGCAAAGCUACUUAUAUUCUAGAAAAUUUUCCUUAGUUGAAAAUAAACAUAUUUAUUAUUGCCACUUUUAUAUAGAAACCUUAUGCUAUCAACUUCUAAUUUAUUGAUGAUGCACCUAAUCAAAAAAAAAAACAAGCUCUUAUAGAACAUUUCUCACAAAUUAUGGUAAUCUAAUUCUCAUCGUAUCCUCAUUCCUUGAUUAAAAUUACCUCCUUCCUUUGUUAUGAACUCUUCAUCAUCUGGGUGAGGCUCCACUCUGCUGGCACAUAGAUAUGGAGGCUUUUGGCCCCAUGGGGGGCUUUCCCCUGCUUCCAGAGGCACAGGGACUUCUUUGCCCUCAUCCCAGUUGAGCUGUGGUGCUAGGCCCAGGAGCAGCCUCGUGCCCUCUCUGCCCCUCCUACCCCAGCCUCAUAUCACAGUGAAGGACUGAACUCAAAUGCACCAAAGUCAAGGGGACUCAUGGGGCCAGAGUGCUGAGAAAUCCUCUCUACCUCUUUUGAGGAUGAUAUUCCUUGUGAAGUCUUUUCUUCCACGGUAUUUCAGUUAAAGAGGCCUGGACUGCUCUGAGAAAGACCCGAGUAUGUAGCUCACCAAGUUCUACUUUAAACACCAGGGGUAGUUAGAUUGUCCCUCCUUGGAAAUUUCAUGAAGCAGAGUGGUUGAGGAAGGACGAAGCCUGUCUUGAUUUGGCAUGUAGCUGUUUAUUACUAGAAACCCAGUUUCCUUUUGAAUCAGAGGGACAGGUUUUAUUUGUCUUUUCAAUCUCUGGGGCUCAGCUCUACUCUUCCUGAAAUCUCUUCUCCCCUACAGGAUAGGGUGGCAAGGAAAGAGAAAAAUCAUGUACCAGAGCCUCGAGACCAUUCCCUUGCAUGUACGUCCAUGUCUUUUCCUCCUUGAGGGCUAUUUCCAUUUUUUCUCUUUCUGACCAAUACUUCAUGUGCCAUCAGUGACUCAGGUUGCCUCUAGCAACAGCUUUGCGUAAGCAAAUCAUCACCCACACUUUCUCCUUUUAAGAAUUGUUUCCAUAAACCUGUAACUUUCACCACAGUGUAUUUCCUAACAAGAUUUAUAACCAGGAGACUUAAUGGAUUUUAAUAAAUGGGACACUUGAAGUAGUUCCGUCAGGCCAAAUUGUCACGUUAGGGACAUUUUCCUGGGUACAGGCAUUUUAUGUAGGAUAAUUUCCCAAUAUACACACACACACACACAUACACACCCCUUUAUGGGUAUCUCCAUAUGUUAUUCGUAUAAUAAUACAUAAGACAAUAAAUUGCCUUUGCAAAUAUUGGAUAUAAUAGAACUAAGCUCAAUUUAUUAGAUACCAGGAUUAAGACAUUAAAAUUAAGGCAAAAUAGGGAAAGAAUAGAAUAUAUUUGUCUUUCCAUGUGCUUUCUCCAGGGAGGACAUGAACUCAACUAGCAGUUUAAGACCCUCCCAGACUCCCUGGGCAUCACUAGAUAUGCCCUAUAUGCCCAUUUAUAUAUCAAGUCAGAAUUUUCCAAACCAGCUCCCACUUUAAAGCCUCUGUGCUGCCCAGGUCCAUCCACAGUAGUUGAGGAUAAGAAGAACAAGAAUGUCCUGAUGUCCAGGAGAGUCUUUAUGGGCAUAUCUGUCCCUAGACAAAUCUUCUUAGGAAGGAACGAGCCAAGAAAACACCACAAAGAAGUUCUAAUUUGAAACACUAUUUGCAUUGAAUGUCUAAUUUUCUAUUUUCAAUGGCCAUUUACAUCUCUGCCUUAAAUAAGCUUCAUAUAUAUAUACUCACAUGCUCAUUCAUAUAUACAGGCAUAUGUUUCUUAACGAGGGGGUAUGUACUAAGAAACUCACCCCUAACGAUUUUGUCAUUAUGUGACCCUCACAGGACAUAGUUUCAUAAGCCUCAAUGGUGUAGGUCAGUCAUUCGACGUGACCUCAACAUGUGAUUCAUGAGGCUGCUGCUGGUGGGACAGGGCAGGCUGGUUACCGUUAAAUUUUUAUAAGAACAGAGAGUACACUCUAGAAUAAUGUUGAAAAACACACAGUGUAGUAAAUACAUUAACCAGUAAUGGAGUCAUUUAUUGUCAUUGUAAGCGUCAUUACGUAGUAUGUGGGAUCGUGUGUGAUAAAAUUUUGUACAGCUGGCAGCGCAGAGGACUUUUUCACACCAGCCUCACACAGUCACACGAGUAGAGCAUCCUGCUGCCAUGUCAGGGUGGCUGUGUUGCCACUAGGCCGUAGAGUGUUUCAGCUCCAUUACAAUCUCAUGGGACUGCCAUCAAUUGUGUAUGGAGUCCAUUGUUGACUGAAAAGUGGGCUGGGGGGGGUUGUCACUCAGUGGUAGAGCAUUUGUCUGGC